GCCGAUAUAGCUCAGUUGGCCAGAGCACGUGAUUUGUAAUCUCGGGGUCGUGGGUUCAAAUCCCUCUAUCGGCU
rfam:Bacteroides sp. CAG:709 genomic scaffold, scf13